CCAAGAUCCUCCAUCUUUGUGGGAUCUCUGUCUACUUCGGAUUGCUGUUCCUGUUGUGGAAAGGGCUAUCUGGGAAAUCAGAGUAUUUGAGAUUUGGCAAUCAGUAAGGGCACAGGCCAAUCAGGUCCAGCGAGCAGAGAUUUGCCAAGCCACUAGCUGGCGGGCCUCUUGUGCAUGGGUUGAACUGAACCAGACCACUCCCGGGUCUGGGAUUGGAAGAGUUCCUUCCACGUAUGGAAAGGCCUCCGAGGAACAUUCCUUGGCCCUGGAUUGAGGACUCUCUGGCCAGCGACAACUGGUAAAAGCAAAAUUUAAAAUUAAAUUGAAGUAGCCGAGUCUUCGUCUGUCUUCUUAUUUGUCAGCUGUUUGUUCUGCAGACCUAUCCACUAGGCCUUCCACCUCUGUAGGACUCAGGGAUGAGCCUGGGAGGAGCUCACUCAAGGAGCAGUGGGCUCCGGGGAAGUGACUGGUCACAGUGGGGGCUUGGAUCCUAGAGCCCCCAGGGAGAGACUCAUUAGGUAGAGCUGGACACAGCACCACAUCCCAGAGUCUGAGUUUGGUCCCAUUCGGUGGCAAGGACCAUUGACCCUGUGCCAUGAUGAUGGACACGGGGGGAGUUAUUUUCUGCUUGGGAUAAUCUGCAACACAGUCUCCCUUGCCAGUGUGGGCUGAAAUGUUUGUCAUUGCCUACCUUGUGUUUGAGGAGACCCACUAGAAUCUGGACACCCCAUUGUUCCCCAAGGCUGGGUCUAGGUUUCAUCCCAUGCCACGGUGAUGGGCGUGGGCCAACGAUCAGUUCUGCCUUCUCUUUGGGACAAUUUGUGUCAUAUUUCUUGUGUUGUUUAUCAUUGUUUGGUGUUGUCUCCCCUAGUUUGUUUUGUGGAUUAACCCUCCAGGGAGUUGUUUAUUGUUGUCAAAGUCUAUGUAGUCAAGCAACAAGCAUGGAACAAGGAAUUUCCUCACAUCGGACUCCCCUCGAUUGUUUUCUGGAUUAUUUCAAAUAUUUCAAGUAAGAGGGAAAAGAUUAUGGGUUUACUGUGACCCCUUUUGAUUUGGGAAAAUUCUGCCAAUUAGAAUGGCCAACCUUUGGGGUGGGCUGGCCCCUGGAGGGGACUUCAGAUUUAUUCACAGCGCAAUGAGUCUGACACAUUGUCUAUGGAAAUCCUAGUCAUCCAGAACAAAUUCUGUACGUGAAAAUCUGGAUCCAUCUAGUUCAAUGAGACCCAAAGUGGUUGCCUGUCCUUGGAUGAAAAUUCCCAUCUGAAAUCUGCCUGAUUCAUCCGACAAAGAACCAAACAAAUGCCUUGCCCUCAAAGCAAAGUAUGAAAUUUUCUGUGAGACUCAACAAAGGGUCUCAUAUCUGGCUCCCUCCCUUCAAAUAAAUCUCAAAUCUGAUCUCAGAGGGCUCAGACAGAUAUCAGUAAUUACAUUGCUAGAGAGGAUUUAAUCUAAGCUGUAUGAAAGAGAAUCCACAUAGAAACUAAACAAAUAAAUGAAUGCAUUUAAAAGUGUCUAAACUGCUCAGUUCUAGAGUAACAAAAAUUCUUCCUUUUGAUAUAGCACCAUUCACUGAGACAGAACAAAACUUAUGGCCAUCUCCCAAAGGUGAGAAUGGAGGGGGGCUGAAUCAGGUACUUUGGAGGGCCAAAGGUCUCUAGCUGAAUUCUUAGAGUGUAGGCCUAGAAGCAGGCCUGAUGGAGCCAGUUUCUUUCUGUGUGUAUCAAUGAAAUCAAAUGGAAAAUUCAUCCUGCUUAUGCAGGAGCCCCAUCGGGUGCUGCUCACCCACCAUUUCUGUGUUGCGUUUACCAGGCGAGGACCCUACCCUAUAGAGUGUAUGCACUUUGACCUGUGUACUAUCAUGACAGGGAAAUUCAUGUUGCUGCUGCCCAUGAAAACCUUUGGCUGCAGGCAGCAAAACAGAUGGACUACUUUAAGACACGAAUGCAGUAGCUUUGGUAAGAAUUAAAGAGUAAAGUGGUUUGUGUUGUUAGAUCAUUCUUAUCUGGUAAAGAAUUGUAACACGUCUUGGAAAAACUCAGAAUUAUUCAUUUAUAAUCGAUGUUCCUUUUUUAACUAGUGCCUGUAAAAUGGGAAAAAUCAAAGCCUUUCUUUCCUGCAAAACCCCCAGGGACUCAUCUCUCUUUUGGAGUCUGUCUUUUUUACCCACCAGCCAACCUGGGAUGACUGUCAGCAACUCCUCCAGACCUUAUUCACAUCACAGGAAAGAGAACAAAUCGGGGUGGAAUCCUGAAAACCUGGUCUGGGUCCAGAUGGGGAGAUCAACACGAAUUAUGGGACAGACAUUCUCCAGGGACAAGGACAUCAAGGAAACCGUCAAGCGGAAAACUAAGGCACCCCAGUCUGGGGAAAAUGUAGACAACCUCCUUCUGGUGGUCAAGUCAAGGCACCAAUGCCUCCAGGCCACACCGUCCCUGCUGCGGACUCUGGCAGACCUUGGGUAUCAGGCCUCAGCCAAGAAGACCCAUCUCUGACCCCUCAGGCCACAUAUCUGGACUACAACCUGGAGAGAGGGGGAGGAAAUGAUCCAGACUUGAGAUGGAUGAAGGUAGAGGAACGAGCCUUCCAGGCCUUGAAGACUGCUUUGGUGAGUGCCCCAGCUUUAGGCCUCCCUGAUGUCUCAAAUCCAUUCCAACUGUACGUGGCUGAGUCAAAGGGCAUCAAGAAGAGGGUCCUAAUGCAAAUUCUGGGACCAUGAAAGUGGCCUAUGGCCUACUCAUCCAAGAGGCUAGACUCAAUGACAUCAAGAUGGCCAAAUUGCCUGUGCAAAAAGGGUAGCCAUAGAUGUUGUCCUAAAGCCAAUGGGGUCCCCGCAAAUACCCCCAUGCUUCCUCCUCCAACCUUUGCCAAAAAGUCCAGAUUCACUCCUGAAGAAAGAAGAAUUAGGCCAUGCCCUACGUGCCAUAGACCAGCCUGAGGGAUGGAAAGAGCUUCUUGAUGGGCGACUCCUCCCAGAUGCUCUAGCACAGGGCUCAUCUCCCUACUCCAUCGGAACACUCAUCUAGACAAACAAAGGUAAUAUAACUUCUCAAGAGAGACUAUUAUAUUCCUUGACUGACAAAAAUUACCAAAGACACAGCCAGAAGAUGUCACAUCUGUGCUCAAAUAAACCCUGGAAAGUCAGUUCCCCCGUACCAUGGGGCCAGGCUUUGAGAACACAUCCCUGGAGAACACUGGGAGCUCUUCACCAAGCUCCCUCACGAGGCGGCUGGGCACCACUCCUGCUGGUGUUCAUAGAUAAUUUUCCUGGUUAGUCGGAGGCAUACCCCACCAAGUCCAAGACAGCACAGGUAGUUGCUUAAAUUUAUUGUCUAAAAUUGUCCCACACUUUGGGUUACCAGUAACUCUGGGGUCCAACCGUGGCCUAGCGUUCACCGCCCAUUUUACUCAAUUAUUGGCAAAAUAUUUAAAAAUGGAAAACGUCACUGUGUCUGUCAGCCUCAGGAUUCAAGACAGGUAGAAAAAAUAAAUAGAAUGCUUUAAAAAGUUGUAACCAAGUUGAAGUUGGAGACUGGCAAAAACCGGGGAAGAAGUUCCUUUUGCCCUUCUGCGUGUGCGUUAUACCCCUUAUGUGUAGGAGUUAACCCCCUUUAAAAUAAUGUUUGGAGGGCUGCCUCCACUUGUCCCCAAGAGGGAUGAGGAGAUAAAAGGGAAACUUUCUAGCCAUGCCCUUUUG